AAAAAGGAAGAGAACAUAACGGGAGUGCAUUGUUUAACAGAACAGGUAAGGAAAUAUCUGAAUUGCGAACCAGAAAGAAUCAGUGCAAAAAUAUUUCAUCAAUCAUCAAGUUUAAGUAACAAAAUGCAGAUUAUAAUUCUACAAUUUUUUGAAUUUUUGUUUAGAAAGGGAGACUGAGGAAAGGGCAGGGUUUCCCCACCGGGGAAUACGCCUAGGUGUGGCAAUUUAAAUCAACAGUAUUUAAUCACUCGAUGAACUUGUAAAAGUGUAACUUCUUAACUAAUCAAGCCUUCUUUCAAUUGUAAGUUGUAAGCAUACACUUGUAAACGAAAUUCAUUUGCACCUAAUUCUAAAACAUUAUCACGUACUGAACGGCCAAUGAGCUGUUAAUAGACUGUUAGUGAAGUAGAUUAGCAAUUUUAUAGAAGCUGAUAUAAGUAGGAAUCACGUGUGUAAGGAGAGAUGUUAAUCAAAUAAUAGAACUGGAAACUUCCAUCUCUUCUUCUAUGCUCUCUUUAUCUUCCCUCUUUCUCUGUUUCUCUUCAGUUUUCUAUCUCUUUCUUUCCCUUUCUCUCACUUUCCCUCUCUUUCUCACUACCCAAACACCCCAUAUCGUGA
rnacentral:misc_RNA from 1 species